GUUUCCGUAGUUUAGCGGUUAUCACGUCUGCUUCACACGCAGAGGUCCCCGGUUCGAUCCCGGGCGGGAACA
rnacentral:tRNA from 1 species